rnacentral:rRNA from 1 species
AUUGAACGCUGGCGGCAGGCCUAACACAUGCAAGUCGAGCGAGCGGCGGACGGGUGAGUAAUGUAUGGGGACUGCCCGAUAGAGGGGGAUAACUACUGGAAACGGUAGCUAAUACCGCAUACUAUCGGAUAACCCAUAUGGGAUUUGCUAGUAGGUGAGGUAAUGGCUCACCUAGGCGGCGAUCCCUAGCUGGUCUGAGAGGAUGAUCAGCCACACGGGGACUAAGACACGGACCAGACUCCUACGGAGGCAGAAGUGGGGAAUAUUGCACAAUGGGCGCAAGCCUGAGGAAGCCAUGCCGCGUGUAGGAAGAAGGCCUUAGGGUUGUAAAGUACUUUCAGAGGGGAGGCGUUACAGGCAGAAGAAGAACCGGCUAACUCCGUGCCAGCAGCCGCGGUAAUUC